rnacentral:rRNA from 1 species
UACGUAGGGGGGCGAGCGUUGUCCGGAGUUACUGGGCGUAAAGCGCACGCAGGCGGUCUGCUAAGUUUGGAGUGACAGUUGGUGGCUUAACUGCCAAAGUGCUUCGAAAACUGACAGACUUGAGGGCUUCAGAGGAACACGGAAUUCCGGGUGGAGUGGUGAAAUGCGUAGAGAUCCGGAAGAACACCAGUGGCGAAGGCGGCCCGCUAGGCAGUGGCUGACGCUGAGGCGCGACAGCGUGGGGAGCAAACAGG